rnacentral:rRNA from 1 species
AUUGAACGCUGGCGGCAGGCCUAACACAUGCAAGUCGAGCGCGCGGCGGGCGGGUGUGUAAUGUCUGGGAAACUGCCUGAUGGAGGGGGAUAACUCCGGGAAACGGUACCUAUAACCGCAUACCCGCAGCUGUGCCCAGAUGGGAUGAGCUAGUAGGUGGGGUAAAGGCUCACCCAGGCGACAAUCCCUAGCUGGUCUGAGAGGAUGACCGGCCACACUGGAACUGAGACACGGCCCAGACUCCUACGGGAGGCAGCAGUGGGGAAUAUUGCACAAUGGGCGCAAGCCUGACGCAGCCAUGCCGCGUGUGUGAAGAAGGCCUUCGGGUUGUAAAGCACUUUCAGCGAGGAGGCGUUACCCGCAGAGGAAGCACCGGCUAACUCCGUGCCAGCAGCCGCGGUAAUAC